UACGUAGGCAGCGAGCGUUGUUCGGAAUUACUGGGCGUAAAGAGUGUGUAGGCGGUGCUCUAAGUUCGGUGUGAAAUCUCCCGGCUUAACUGGGAGGUGCGCCGGAAACUGGAGUGCUCGAACGUGGGAGAGGAAAGCGGAAUUCCUGGUGUAGCGGUGAAAUGCGUAGAUAUCAGGAGGAACACCUGCGGUGUAGACGGCUUUCUGGACCAUUGUUGACGCUGAGACACGAAAGCGUGGGUAGCAAACAGG
rnacentral:rRNA from 1 species